GACGAACGCUGGCGGCGUGCUUAACACAUGCAAGUCGAGCGGAAAGGCCCUUUCGGGGGUACUCGAGCGGCGAACGGGUGAGUAACACGUGAGUAAUCUGCCCUUGGCUUUGGGAUAACUACCGGAAACGGUGGGCUAAUACCGGAUACGACGUACUCAGGCAUCUGAUGUGCGUGGAAAGUUUUUUCGGCCAGGGAUGUGCUCGCGGCCUAUCAGCUUGUUGGUGGGGUAAUGGCCUACCAAGGGCUUCGACGGGUAGCCGGCCUGAGAGGGUGACCGGGCCACACUGGGACUGAGACACGGCCCAGACUCCUACGGGAGGCAGCAGUGGGGAAUAUUGGGACAAUGGGCGGAAGCCUGAUCCAGCGAACG
rnacentral:rRNA from 1 species